rnacentral:rRNA from 1 species
UUUAGAGUUUGAAUCCUGGCUCAGGAUGAACGCUGGCGGUCUGCUUAACACAUGCAAGUCGAACGGAAGUAGAAAUACUUUAGUGGCGGACGGGUGAGUAACGCGUGAGAAUCUACCUCAAGGACGGGGACAACCAUUGGAAACGAUGGCUAAAACCGGAUGAGCCGAAGGGUAAAAAAUUAAUUGCCUUGAGAAGAGCUCGCGUCUGAUUAGCUAGUUGGUAGGGUAAAAGCCUACCAAGGCAUCGAUCAGUAGCUGGUCUGAGAGGAUGACCAGCCACACUGGGACUGAGACACGGCCCAGACUCCUACGGGAGGCAGCAGUGGGGAAUUUUCCGCAAUGGGCGAAAGCCUGACGGAGCAAGACCGCGUGAGGGAGGAAGGCUCUUGGGUUGUAAACCUCUUUUCUUGGGGAAGAAAAAAAUGACGGUACCCAAGGAAUCAGCAUCGGCUAACUCCGUGCCAGCAGCCGCGGUAAUACGGAGGAUGCAAGCGUUAUCCGGAAUUAUUGGGCGUAAAGCGUCCGCAGGUGGCACUUCAAGUCUGCUGUCAAAGACAGUGGCUUAACUACUGAAAGGCAGUGGAAACUGAAGCGCUAGAGUGUCGUAGGGGUAGAGGGAAUUCCCGGUGUAGCGGUGAAAUGCGUAGAGAUCGGGAAGAACAUCGGUGGCGAAAGCGCUCUACUGGACGGCAACUGACACUCAGGGACGAAAGCUAGGGGAGCGAAUGGGAUUAGAUACCCCAGUAGUCCUAGCCGUAAACGAUGGAUACUAGGUGUGGCUUGUAUCGACCCGAGCCGUGCCGUAGCUAACGCGUUAAGUAUCCCGCCUGGGGAGUACGCGCGCAAGCGUGAAACUCAAAGGAAUUGACGGGGGCCCGCACAAGCGGUGGAGUAUGUGGUUUAAUUCGAUGCAACGCGAAGAACCUUACCAGGGCUUGACAUGUCCGGAAUCUUGAUGAAAGUUAAGAGUGCCUUCGGGAGCCGGAACACAGGUGGUGCAUGGCUGUCGUCAGCUCGUGUCGUGAGAUGUUGGGUUAAGUCCCGCAACGAGCGCAACCCUCGUCUUUAGUUGCCAGCAUUAAGAUGGGCACUCUAGAGAGACUGCCGGUGACAAACCGGAGGAAGGUGGGGAUGACGUCAAGUCAGCAUGCCCCUUACGUCCUGGGCUACACACGUACUACAAUGCUAUGGACAAAGGGCAGCCAACCAGCGAUGGUGCGCUAAUCCCAUAAACCAUGGCUCAGUUCAGAUCGCAGGCUGCAACUCGCCUGCGUGAAGGAGGAAUCGCUAGUAAUUGCAGGUCAGCAUACUGCAGUGAAUCCGUUCCCGGGCCUUGUACACACCGCCCGUCACACCAUGGAAGCUGGCCACGCCCGAAGUCGUUACCCUAACCUUUCGAGGAGGGGGACGCCGAAGGCAGGGCUGGUGACUGGGGUGAAGUCGUAACAAGGUAGCCGUACCGGAAGGUGUGGCUGGAUCACCUCCUUUUAGGGAGACCAACGGCGGCAGUAAAAAAGCUAAAAGCCAAUUUUUACAGCCAGAGCAAUCCCAAGGUCGUGCGAGCGUAGAGGAAACAGAAGCUUUCAAACUAUUAAUUGGUUCGGUCUCACGGGCUAUUAGCUCAGGUGGUUAGAGCGCACCCCUGAUAAGGGUGAGGUCCCUGGUUCGAGUCCAGGAUGGCCCACCUCACAGGUGAAGUAAAAAGCAGCAAACCGACCCAAGUUAUUGCCCAAAACAGGCAUCACCCGAAAAUCUAGCACCUGAAAUUGCUCAAGAAAAGCAAAUCAGUCUGCUGGAGUUAAAAUCCAGUCAGCACCUUGAAAACUGCAUAGCAAACGGAAAUUUGAUUUGAGUAGUGACACCGAAGAGGAUGUCAUUAAUCAAGUCAACAAAAAUCAACCAAUGUGGUCAAGCUACAAAGAGCUUAUGGUGGAUACCUAGGCACACAGAGGCGAAGAAGGACGUAGCGACCGACGAAACACUCCGGGGAGCUGGAAGCAAGCUUUGAGCCGGAGAUCUCCGAAUGGGGCAACCCCAAGUACAGCCUGUUGAAUCUAUAGACAGGUAUGAGCCAACCCAGCGAACUGAAACAUCUUAGUAGCUGGAGGAACAGAAAUCAAACAGAGAUUCCCUAAGUAGCGGCGAGCGAAAGGGGAAAAGCCUAAACCAGUUGUUUUAAUAACUGGGGUCGUGGGACAGCGCCAUGGAAUCUGCACCGCUAGACGAAGCUGUUGAAAGCAGCACCAAAGAAGGUGAAAGUCCUGUAGUCGAAAGUGGCAAGAUACUAGCUGUAUCCCGAGUAGCAUGGGGCACGUGAAAUCCCGUGUGAAUCAGCGAGGACCAUCUCGUAAGGCUAAAUACUCCUGUGUGACCGAUAGUGAACCAGUACCGCGAGGGAAAGGUGAAAAGAACCCCGGAAGGGGAGUGAAAUAGAACCUGAAACCAUAAGCUUACAAGCAAUGGAAGGACUAUUCAAAGUCUGACCGUGUGCCUGUU